AACAAAAUUUCGCAAGCCACACGGUGGUUCCGGUCACGACUCACGAUGUCGGGGAAGCCGCCGUCGCUGAAACGAAUCGGCUUGCCAUGGCCAGAGCUCAACGAUGGUUUGGCAUACAAGGAUGUCGUCUCAUCUUUUUCUUCUUCUUCAGAGUUAACGACGGUGUCAGAUUUCUACUCAACGAAAUAUAAGAGCUCAGCUCCACUGCUAGGGUGGAUUCAACGUAUCCAAAACGGACAGAUACAAAUUGAUGGGGAAGUUGUUAAAGAUCACAACACACUUCUUAGGAGGGGUUCCAAGUUAGUUUACCAUAGGCUUCCUUGGAAGGAACCUGACACGCCAUACUCGCUAGAAGUUUUGUAUGAAGACAAUGAUUUGAUAGCCUUAAACAAGCCUUCUGGACUUCAAGUAUUGCCAGGAGGGCUUUUCCAGCAACGGACUUUGUUGACGCAACUGCAGUGGUGUUUUAGUAAAAAAGAUUCGUCCACCGGAGCUCGUGAAUCACACCCUGUCCCUGUACAUCGACUGGGAAGAGGAACAUCAGGUAUACUUCUCUGUGCGAAGACAAAGCUUGCAAAAACGAAACUUGCUUCUUAUUUUGCCGAGGGAACAUCUCUUGUUGGGUUCGGUAACCUGGAUCAAGAGUGUGGAACCGGAAGGAAAAUAUCAAAGAUCUAUCGAGCACUAGCAGAUGGUAUAGUUGAAGAAGACGAGGUAGUCAUCAAACAGCCUAUCGGAGUGGUUAGAUAUCCUGGGGUCGCAAAAGGAUUAUAUGUUGCUUCUUCAGAAGGUAAACCUGCUCUUAGCAAAGUAGCUGUUCUGGAGAGAAACAUGCAAAGAAAUUGCACGCUGGUUAAGGUGGAAAUACAAUCUGGAAGACCACAUCAAAUCAGGAUUCAUCUUGCAUACAUGGGACAUCCCUUGAUAGCUUACAUGUUGACCAAAGUGCAGGGGACCCUCUUUAUGUUGCGGGCGGAAAACCAAAGUGCUUUGAUCCAGAUGCUGUAGAUUCUGCUUUUGCUGAAGAUGGGGGUUACCGAAGACCUAAUCAGGCUGUUCCUGGGGAUUGCGGAUAUCAUCUGCACGCACAUCAAGUAGAGCUACCAAAUCUGUUGAACCUUAAUAAGGUUGUAAAAGUCGUGGCGCCAUUACCACCAAUCCUCCAAACAAGUUCCGAGGCAGAAGAAAAUGGUUUUUCCUCCUGCAAGUUAAGUUAAAUUAGUCUUUCACUAGACACCAUUAGAUGUGAUUCUUCAAGUGUUAUCCUCCUUGGAAAACAUACAGAGAGCUAAGCUUAGCUCUUUCUGUUAUUAUCAGAAACAUUACAAA